rnacentral:rRNA from 1 species
CGAGCCUGAUGCAGCGACGCCGCGUGAGGGAUGACGGCCUUCGGGUUGUAAACCUCUUUCAGUAGGGAAGAAGCGAAAGUGACGGUACCUGCAGAAGAAGCACCGGCUAACUACGUGCCAGCAGCCGCGGUAAUACGUAGGGUGCGAGCGUUAUCCGGAAUUAUUGGGCGUAAAGAGCUCGUAGGCGGUUUGUCGCGUCUGUCGUGAAAGUCCGGGGCUUAACCCCGGAUCUGCGGUGGGUACGGGCAGACUAGAGUGCAGUAGGGGAGACUGGAAUUCCUGGUGUAGCGGUGGAAUGCGCAGAUAUCAGGAGGAACACCGAUGGCGAAGGCAGGUCUCUGGGCUGUAACUGACGCUGAGGAGCGAAAGCAUGGGGAGCGAACAGGAUUAGAUAC